CUAGCACUUCUCAGUGUUCGAGUUGUAAUUCUGAAGAAGGUAACUUUGGUUUUGGCUCUUGUCUAUGUUCCUUGGAACAGGACGUCACAGAGGGUGAGAAUCCCGUGCGAUGAGAUGCCCAAUUCCAUGUAAAGUGCUUUCGAAGAGUCGAGUUGUUUGGGAAUGCAGCUCUAAGUGGGUGGUAAAUUCCAUCUAAAGCUAAAUAUUGGCGAGAGACCGAUAGCGAACAAGUACAGUGAUGGAAAGAUGAAAAGAACUUUGAAAAGAGAGUGAAAAAGUACGUGAAAUUGUUGAAAGGGAAGGGCUUGAGAUCAGACUUGGUAUUUUGCGUUCCCUUCCUUUUUGGUUGGGUUCCUCGCAGUUUACUGGGCCAGCAUCGGUUUGGAUGGUAGGAUAAUGACAUUGGAAUGUAGCUUUACUUCGGUGAAGUGUUAUAGACUUUGUUGAUACUGCCUAUC
rnacentral:rRNA from 1 species